CUGACAGAGGAAGUCCAGUAGCCAGUUGCAGAGGUGGGUGAGGGCCGAGUGGAGGCCCUCUCGGAUGACCGACCCUCUCACCCUAUCUCCAAUGGGUGGCCCUCAUUUUAUCUGCGACCUUGUUUUUUAGUCACAACCCACAGCUUGUGGCCAUAGGUGAGGGUAGGAAUGUUACUCAACUGGUAAAUCGAGAGCUUUGCCUAUAGGCUCAGCUCCUUCACCAAGACAGACCAAUAUAUAGUCUGUAUCACUGUACAAGAUUCACCAAUUAGAAUCGGUGAUGUCCAUUCUUCCCUCACUUGUGAACUCCUCUUUGGGCAGGAUCUGAUCCCCAACCUGUUAGGAGCACUCCAACCUUUUCUGACUGAAGACCAUGGUCUGUUGUAAAAUUUCAACGUAUAGAAGUCUCGGGCCUUCUUCCUUGCAUCAACCAUUACGAAUUACCUGUGCCCAACUUCUUUAACGCGUGUUCGUUUUUUCUUCUAAGGGCAAAGAUAUCCACACAAAUCACACUCAGAUCAGGUUAGUUCAAUUUCAACUGAGUAUAUUAAGUCUGCAUUCAGGAAAAAGCAAUACGGCGCCGGGCGUUCUCCCCCAGACAUGGAAGAACCGCGCCCCACAAAACAACUCAUACAUUUUUAUACACGUCACUUGGUUUCGUAGCAAGAGGUGGAGACUGUUAGUCUCCUCCUUUUUUGGAUAUCUUAAAGUCAAGUUCUCCCCUCACCCAAACGGGCUGCUCCAUCUUGUCCAAAUCUUGUUUGGAUGUUUUUAAAAUCCAGUUCUCCCCUCACGCAGAGGGCGUUGUCCCAUCCUUGGCAGCGCUUGCACUUUUGCUGAUGUCAAUUUGUGUAAACAGUCUCAUUUGUUCAUCUCCUCGGUCCUGGUGAACUGUCUUGUGCGACGAUGAACUCAACACAAUAUUAAUCCUGGCUAAUGUUUUGUUGCUAUGUUAUUUUCCAUGCCAACGGUUGGUCUCUGUCCACAUUUCCAUUCUCCAUGCUUCAGAAUAACACAUUUACAAAACA